GACGAACGCUGGCGGCGUGCUUAACACAUGCAAGUCGAACGGAAAGGCCCUGCUUUUGUGGGGUGCUCGAGUGGCGAACGGGUGAGUAACACGUGAGUAACCUGCCCUUGACUUUGGGAUAACUUCAGGAAACUGGGGCUAAUACCGGAUAGGAUCUCCUGCUGCAUGGUGGGGGUUGGAAAGUUUCGGCGGUUGGGGAUGGACUCGCGGCUUAUCAGCUUGUUGGUGGGGUAGUGGCUUACCAAGGCUUUGACGGGUAGCCGGCCUGAGAGGGUGACCGGCCACAUUGGGACUGAGAUACGGCCCAGACUCCUACGGGAGGCAGCAGUGGGGAAUAGUGCACAAUGGGCGGAAGCCUGAUGCAGCAACGCCGCGUGCGGGAUGACGGCCUUCGGGUUGUAAACCGCUUUCGCCUGUGACGAAGCGUGAGUGACGGUAAUGGGUAAAGAAGCACCGGCUAACUACGUG
rnacentral:rRNA from 1 species